UCCAAUGUGGUCUAGUGGUUAGGAUACUUCAUUCUCAGUCAAGAGGUCCAAGUUUGGUUCUUGUCGUGGGAA